CCUAUACGGGCUGCUCUACGAGCAAGAGCCCGUGCUAGCACAAGGCCAGCUUAAUCUUAAACAACAACUUUGUUUUCCUUGUGUCGUGUGACUCGUGUCCUCACUCCUCAGUCCUCACUCCUCACUCCUCGUCUUCAGCCAGCUGUUUCAGGACUCAGUCGUCAUGUCAGAGUUGAUAACAUAUUUCGUUCAGUGUUUCGGUGAUCUGUCGUUUACGGCGUGAUCUCAUUCACUCCAUUCGACAAGUUGAAUUUUCGCAGGUGCGGCUGAUUACAGAACUGGAUCCCCGUUAUGUUGUACAUCCGUCCACUUCGUGUAUAUUGGGUUCUUGCGCUCUGGCCGACUUUAGGUUAAGUAUGUUUUCCUCGCGUCUGAAGGUCGCCUGGAUGGAGUAGACGAGAGCUUUCUGAGGUUUCGCCGUCCCCGCAAAGACUUCGCAGUUAAGAGUAAUACGAAGAGCAUACUGCAUGUAGGAGGAAGUACUCUUAGGGUAGACAAGAUUUCUCCCGGAUUCCGCAUAAUGAGUUUAUUUUGCGUUGCAAAAUAAAGACCCCUUACGAAUCACGGUGCCUGUUUUAAUUGCGUGCUAUGAAGCAACGCUUACUGUUAUCUGAAUAUGUGCUUGGGAUGAGGACUGAAAAUGGUACCUAGUCUAUCCAAGCUUCUGUUGUAGUUUGUCAAAAAUGCCCCAUUUCCAUUUUA